rnacentral:pre_miRNA from 1 species
UUACUACUCCCUCCGUCCGGAAAUAUUUGUCGUAGGAAUGGAUGUAUCUAGUUGUAUUUUAGUUCUAGAUACAUCCAUUUAUAUCAUUUUUGUGACAAGUAAUUUCGGAUGGAGGGAGUAUUAU